ACAGUGGACGCGAGCAUCUGUGGCCAAGUUUUUAAGGGCGCACGGUGGAUGCCUUGGCACCAGGAACCGAUGAAGGACGUGGGAGGCCGCGAUAGGCCCCGGGGAGCUGUCAACCGAGCUGUGAUCCGGGGGUGUCCGAAUGGGGAAACCCGGCAGUCGUCAUGGGCUGUCACCCGCUGCUGAACACAUAGGCAGUGUGGAGGGAACGCGGGGAAGUGAAACAUCUCAGUACCCGCAGGAAGAGAAAACAACCGUGAUUCCGGGAGUAGUGGCGAGCGAAACUGGAUGAGGCCAAACC
rnacentral:rRNA from 1 species